rnacentral:snRNA from 1 species
AAAAGAACAACACAUGUCCUAUCU